rnacentral:rRNA from 1 species
UACAGAGGGUGCAAGCGUUGUCCGGAAUCACUGGGCGUAAAGGGCGCGUAGGCGGCCUGAUAAGUCGGGGGUGAAAUUCUGCGGCUUAACCGCAGGACGGCCUUCGAGACUGUCGGGCUUGAGCACGGUAGAGGCUGGUGGAAUUCCCGGUGUAGCGGUGGAAUGCGUAGAGAUCGGGAAGAACGAUCGGUGGCGAGGGCGGCAAUACUGGACCACCUCUGACGCUGAGGCGCGAAAGCCAGGGAGCAAG